AUUAUGCAUGCUUUGUGUGUAAUACUAUAAAGAAUAUAAUUCUUCCUCAUGAAAUGAAUAUACAAUUACAAAUUAAUCAGCAGUUGUGGCCAAAUUAUUAGACCGCGGCAGGUUUAACUAAUUUAAAUGAAUUUUUUAUCACACAUCAGAGAGAA